rnacentral:rRNA from 1 species
UGCAGUCGAGCGGAACGAUGGGAGCUUGCUCCCAGGCGUCGAGCGGCGGACGGGUGAGUAACGCGUGGGAAUCUGCCCAACGGUGGGGGACAACUUCGGGAAACCGGAGCUAAUACCGCAUACGCCCUACGGGGGAAAGCAGGGGAUCUUCGGACCUUGCGCUGAUGGAUGAGCCCGCGUCCGAUUAGCUUGUUGGUGGGGUAAAAGCCUACCAAGGCGACGAUCGGUAGCUGGUCUGAGAGGACGAUCAGCCACACUGGGACUGAGACACGGCCCAGACUCCUACGGGAGGCAGCAGUGGGGAAUAUUGGACAAUGGGGGCAACCCUGAUCCAGCCAUGCCGCGUGUGUGAAGAAGGCUUUCGGGUUGUAAAGCACUUUCAGUAGGGAAGAUUUGAUCCGGCGUUAAUAUCGCCGGUGAGUGACGGUACCUACAGAAGAAGCACCGGCUAACUCCGUGCCAGCAGCCGCGGUAAUACGGAGGGUGCGAGCGUUAAUCGGAAUUACUGGGCGUAAAGCGAACGUAGGCGGCUUGGUUAGUCGAAUGUGAAAUCCCUGGGCUCAACCUGGGAAUUGCAUCCGAAACUGCCAAGCUAGAGUGUGGGAGAGGGAAGUGGAAUUCCGGGUGUAGCGGUGAAAUGCGUAGAUAUCCGGAGGAACACCAGUGGCGAAGGCGACUUCCUGGCCCAACACUGACGCUCAGGUUCGAAAGCGUGGGGAGCAAACAGGAUUAGAUACCCUGGUAGUCCACGCCGUAAACGAUGAGAACUAGAUGUUGGGAGGGUCAGCCUCUCGGUGUCGUA